rnacentral:rRNA from 1 species
CAGUAGCCGCGGGAAUACGAAGGGGGCUAGCGUUGCUCGGAAUGACUGGGCGUAAAGGGCGCGUAGGCGGCGAUCAAAGUCAGGCGUGAAAUUCCUGGGCUCAACCUAGGAAUUGCAUUUGAUACUGUUUGGCUUGAGUUCGGGAGAGGUGAGUGGAAUUCCCAGUGUAGAGGUGAAAUUCGUAGAGAUCGGGAGGAACAUCAGUGGCGAAGGCGGCCAUCUGGGACAACACUGACGCUGAGGCACGAAAGCGUGGGGAGCAAACAGGAUUAGAUACCCCUGUAGUCCCUGUCUCUUAUAC